rnacentral:rRNA from 1 species
AGACGUCUACAUUAGAUACCCGUGUAGUCCCAGCCGUAAACUAUGCGCGUUAGGUGUAUCGGUGACCACGAGUUACCGAGGUGCCGAAGGGAAACCGUGAAACGUGCCGCCUGGGAAGUACGGUCGCAAGGCUGAAACUUAAAGGAAUUGGCGGAGGAGCACCACAACAGGUGGAGCCUGCGGUUUAAUUGGACUCAACGCCGGGAAGCUCACCGGAUAGGACAGCGGAAUGAUUGCCGGGCUGAAGACUCUGCAUGACUAGCUG